UGGAAGUAAAAGUCGUAAUCAAGGUUUCCGUAGGUGAACCUGCGGAAGGAUCAUUACCGAGUGCGGGUCCUUUGGGCCCAACCUCCCAUCCGUGUCUAUUGUACCCUGUUGCUUCGGCGGGCCCGCCGCUUGUCGGCCGCCGGGGGGGCGCCUCUGCCCCCCGGGCCCGUGCCCGCCGGAGACCCCAACACGAACACUGUCUGAAAGCGUGCAGUCUGAGUUGAUUGAAUGCAAUCAGUUAAAACUUUCAACAAUGGAUCUCUUGGUUCCGGCAUCGAUGAAGAACGCAGCGAAAUGCGAUAACUAAUGUGAAUUGCAGAAUUCAGUGAAUCAUCGAGUCUUUGAACGCACAUUGCGCCCCCUGGUAUUCCGGGGGGCAUGCCUGUCCGAGCGUCAUUGCUGCCCUCAAGCCCGGCUUGUGUGUUGGGUCGCCGUCCCCCUCUCCGGGGGGACGGGCCCGAAAGGCAGCGGCGGCACCGCGUCCGAUCCUCGAGCGUAUGGGGCUUUGUCACAUGCUCUGUAGGAUUGGCCGGCGCCUGCCGACGUUUUCCAACCAUUCUUCCAGGUGACCUCGAUCAGGUAGGAUC
rnacentral:rRNA from 1 species